AUACGGAGGGUGCAAGCGUUAUUCGGAAUCACUGGGCGUAAAGGACGCGUAGGCGGGUUGGCAAGUCAGAUGUGAAAUCCUACAGCUUAACUGUAGAACUGCAUUUGAAACUGCUAACCUAGAGUAUGGGAGGGGGAGAUGGAAUUAGUGGUGUAGGGGUAAAAUCCGUAGAUAUCACUAGGAAUACCGAAAGCGAAGGCGAUCUGCUAGAACUCUACUGACGCUAAGGCAUGAAAGCGUGGGGAGCAAACAGGAUUAGAUACCCUAGUAGUCCC
rnacentral:rRNA from 1 species